rnacentral:ncRNA from 2 species
AACAAUCUUCGGGGCAGGGUGUAAUUCCCGAUCGGCGGUAUAGUCCGCGAGCCGUUAUGGCAGAACCGUUGUAACUACGGUACCGACAGUUAGAGUCUGGAAGGAAGGAGAUUUUU